UACGGAGGGGGCUAGCGUUGUUCGGAAUUACUGGGCGUAAAGCGCGCGUAGGCGGCUUUGUAAGUUAGAGGUGAAAGCCCGGAGCUCAACUCCGGAAUUGCCUUUAAGACUGCAUCGCUAGAAUCAUGGAGAGGUGAGUGGAAUUCCGAGUGUAGAGGUGAAAUUCGUAGAUAUUCGGAAGAACGCCAGUGGCGAAGGCGACUCACUGGACACGUAUUGACGCUGAGGUGCGAAAGCGUGGGGAGCAAACAGG
rnacentral:rRNA from 1 species